GCCUGGGUGGCUCAGUUGGUUGAGUGUCUGACUUCAGCUCAAGUUAUUAUCUCAUGGUCUGUGAGUUCGAAUCCCAUGUCAGGCU
rnacentral:tRNA from 1 species